AUACGGAGGGUGCAAGCGUUACUCGGAAUCACUGGGCGUAAAGCGCGCGCAGGCGGCCAUUUAAGUUGGAUGUGAAAGCCUACGGCUCAACCGUAGAACUGCAUCCAAAACUAUUUGGCUAGAGUGUGGGAGAGGAAGAUGGAAUUAGUUGUGUAGGGGUAAAAUCCGUAGAGAUAACCAGGAAUACCAAAAGCGAAGGCAAUCUUCUGGAACAUUACUGACGCUGAGGCGCGAAAGCGUGGGGAGCAAACAGGAUUAGAAACCCGUGUAGUCC
rnacentral:rRNA from 1 species